AACAUCACUUGUAGCUCUAGUGACCAGUAAGCAAACCGAAACGAUUCCCGUGCCUUUCCCACCUUACGGAGCAUCUGUUGCAGCUGAAUUCACUGAUUUACCAGCCUUCAUAUAUUCGUCAGCUGUUCUCUCAGUGACUUGCUUCUACAGCAUAAUUACCACCAUCUUAUCUUUCUCCGCACUGGUGAAACGUUCUACAACAUCAUCAAAGUUGAUGUCAUGUGUUUUCUCGGUAGAUGUGCUACUCUUGGGUAUUUUAGCUUCCACAACUGGAGCCUCAGGUGAAGUAGCCUACUUAGGACUCAAAGGAAACUCAAAUGUAGGAUGGCACAAGAUCUGCAAUGUCUAUGAUUCCUACUGUCGACACAUUGGAUUCUCCGUUUUAACCUCAAUCUUUUCCUCCAUGGUGCUAUCAUUCCUGAUCAUCCUCUACAUCAUUACUGUAUCACGAAGAUAAACAAAUGACCAUGCCACCGACUCAUCAAAAUAUUGAGAUUGGUUUCUUGGCAGGCUCCCUGUAU